GGAGCGACUGGACCCCAGGCACCCCGGCUUGGACGUACCAUGCUUGCUGGGGUUCUGAUCGAGGGGAGAAGCAGCACCGGCUAAAGGCACGUGCUGCCGUUAUGUGGCAACACCGUGUCAGGUUACUAAAGAGGGGCGAGGAGGACGAUACAGAGUCCCCGGUGGGGACUGAACGCUCAGUGAUGGAGAAUAACCCCAGGAUUCACAGACCAUACAUCCUGAACAGACUUUGUGUGUUCCACCCUUGAAGAAUUUAGAGAAUCGUCACUCAAACGAGUUUCUGUGUUCUGUGGUUCUGACGGGAAACUCUGGAUGAGAAAGGCUAGCUGAGACCCUGAGCCGAAGGACACGCCUCCUGGUUCAACAUUUUGACUGAUUUUCACGGGAUGCUGUUCUCCCCCUCCUUUUGAAGGCACACCCAUCCGGAGAGGGGACAUCACUACAUGACAAUCCUGAAGGGGCUGAACUGGUGCCUGGACACGUGGAACCACCCCAGGGGCUUCCAACAGACACCUGCAUGCUCUCUGAAGUGGCCGAGCUGGGCCGACUAGACACGGGUGCCUGCACCCAACCACUUCUAGUUUCUUUUUCUCAGAUUAAACAUGUAACACAUCAUUUCCAAUGCCUUAUAAAAUAAGACAGUAAAACAGAAACUUGAUGACCCUUGUUACUGGACAAACUGAAGCAGAUAAGCCAGCCAAGUUCACCCACUAAAAUGAAAAUCAGUUUUCAAUUUCGGUACUUUUUAACCCUAGCUACAUCGUAUGAAAUGUAACAGUAACAUUAUUUCUUCUGAGUUAAACGGUCACAUAUAUUUUUAAAAAGUGGGUAAAAGUCACUUAAAUAUUACACACAAUCCGGCAAGUAUUUAAUCCAGCUUGCAUUAAGGACAUAGUUAAAAUGAAAAAUACCUCUUUUUAAAAAUGAACAAACA